GCAACCUUGUGAGUAAAGUGGCGUACGGGUGAGUAACACGUGGAUCACCUGCUCCUUUGUGGGGAAUAACGCUGGGAAACCGGUGCUAAUACCGCAUAAGCCCGAGAGGGGAAAGUCGAAAGACGCUGAGGAAGGGGUCCGCGGCCGAUUAGUUAGUUGGUAGGGUAAUGGCCUACCAAGACCAAGAUCGGUAGCCGGCCUGAGAGGGCACACGGCCACACUGGCACUGAAACACGGGCCAGACUCCUACGGGAGGCAGCAGUGGGGAAUCUUGCACAAUGGGGGAAACCCUGAUGCAGCGACGCCGCGUGAGCGAUGAAGCCCUUCGGGGUGUAAAGCUCUUUCGGCAGGGAAGAUUAUGACGGUACCUGCAGAAGCAGCUGCGGCUAACUACGUGCCAGCAGCCGCGGUAAUACGUAGGCAGCAAGCGUUGUUCGGAGUUACUGGGCGUAAAGGGUGUGUAGGCGGUCCGCUAAGUUUGGUGUGAAAUCUCCCGGCUCAACUGGGAGGGUGCGCCGAAUACUGGCAGGCUAGAGUGUGGGAUGGGAGAGUGGAAUUCCUGGUGUAGCGGUGAAAUGCGUAGAUAUCAGGAGGAACACCUGUGGUGUAGACGGCUCUCUGGACCAUUACUGACGCUGAGACACGAAAGCGUGGGUAGCAAACAGGAUUAGAUACCCUGGUAGUCC
rnacentral:rRNA from 1 species